UUAUCCAGUAGGCUGCUCCCCGUUUGCCAUCCUCCCAACGUCCCCUUCGGGAGGUGACCUAGAGCGCCACUCGUAAUCUGGCCGACGGUGUUUUGUUAGAUUACCUUCCCUCACCCAUGGCGUCCUGCUGGCAGUCGGAACCUUGCUCCUCGCCCGCCACUGCUGAUGACCGUUUUGGAUGGCGGUGAGCGAGGAGAACGUCCGAGGCAGUUUUGCCAAAAGAUCAGAUGCUUCUGAGCAACCAUCCUUGCACGGCUGUGGCCGUUUGCACAUCGGCCGGCAACUGGACAUCAAAGUCCGAGUGUGGCCACUAACCCCAGGACCUGCGCAGCAACCCCUCGUCACGGCGAGCUUCGUCUCUGCGAGCUUCGCAUCAAGCGUCCUGAACGCUCAUCAGGUGGUCUUUGUGCAUAUUCUAGAUGGUCUAGCUGGCGAGGGUGGCGCACGCCUUAGGGAAG
rnacentral:lncRNA from 1 species